UCGAGAAUCUUCCGCAAUGGGCGAAAGCCUGACGGAGCGACACCGCGUGCAGGACGAAGGCCCUCGGGUUGUAAACUGCUGUCACGCUCUAGGAAUGCCAUGUCGUUAAUAGCGGCAUGGUUGACCAAGGCGAAAGGAAGUGGCGGCUAACUCUGUGCCAGCAGCCGCGGUAAGACAGAGGCCACGAACGUUGUUCGGAAUCACUGGGCAUAAAGCGCACGUAGGCGGCUAGGUCCGUCCAAUGUGAAAGCCCCCGGCUCAACCGGGGAAUUGCAUCGGAUACAGCCUGGCUUGAGGACGGUUGGGGUGAGUGGAACUCCUGGUGGAGCGGUGAAAUGCGUAGAUAUCAGGAGGAACACCGGUGGCGAAAGCGGCUCACUGGACCGUAACUGACGCUGAGGUGCGAAAGCUAGGGGAGCAAA
rnacentral:rRNA from 1 species